AUGGCCAGUUAAACUGGAAUUUCAGAUAAACAAUGAAUAAUUUUUAGCGUAAGUAUAUCCCAUGCAAUAUUUGGAACAUACUUAUACUAAAGAUUAUGUGUUGUUUAUCUGAAAUUCCAAUUUACCUAGAUAUCCUGUA
rnacentral:miRNA from 1 species